rnacentral:lncRNA from 1 species
UGAUGAUGGUUGAGGUUGUGAAAUUUGGAAUGAGUUUGAUGAUGUGUUAGUACUUCCAUUGGAUUAUUGAAUUCAGGUUAAGGCUGCGAAUGUCUUUGGGCUUUGUUGUGAGUGUUUGAAGUUGUAAUUGAUAUUGUUUUCUCUGAUAUGGAUGGAAUUGAGUUGAAUUAUAACUGUAGUUGGUGAUUGAUUUGAUGAUUGUGCGUACUGAAUGUUGUAAGGGAUAGAAUAAAUGGUGUUACUUUUGUUGCUGAGCUUGCUGGUAUGAAUUGAUGAGUUAUUGUGUGUUUGAAUGAUGAUGAGUGUAUAUGGAAAAUUAUGCUUGGCAUAGUGUAGAAAAGAAAAGGUUUGAUGAUGCUUAAGUACUUGACAUCGUGUGAAUUAUUGAUUCUGGGUUCUUGGGCUGUGUUGGCAAUGAAGAC